rnacentral:lncRNA from 1 species
UUCCACUCUUGGCCACUGGGAGUAGGGGACAUUCUUGCAGAAGGCCUCCAGGAUCUUCUCCUUCACUUGGCUGAGUGUGUCUGUAUCCAUGGCCCUGACGCUCAGGGAGUCCAUCCCGCAGCCUUGGAAGGAGACGUUGAGGUUCCUUGGCUUUGCCUCGAUGUUCUCACGCAGGAGCCACUCCUCAUUGAGGGUGUAUCUGGCCUUCCCUGUGAUGGCAUCAAUGGAGCCUUUGUUAAUCUGCUGCUUGAUGGCACAGAUCAGC